rnacentral:lncRNA from 1 species
CAUUCCCUGGGGAGGUGGUCCCAGCCUGGAGUGGUCUCACCCUUCACCAAGAUGUGCCCAGAGCCUAUCAAUUUCAGUUCUUAAAAGCGUCCGGCUGAGACUACUGACCUCGAACGCUGACAACCUAAGGAAACGCCCAUGAGACAGCAAACCACGUGACUCCUUUCCCUGUUCAGGAGUUUUACCCUCAGAACCAAGCUACGAUGAUGUGAAGAGGUCAAGCAGCCAUGUGAAAAGGCCACAUUUAGGUGUUCCAAGCACAGCCCUAGUUAUCUAACCAGCCAGCAGUCAUCAUCAAUCACUAGAUGUAGACUAUUGUGAAGAUUAAAUACGAUAAUAGAUGACAAACUUUCAACAUUCAAUGGAUGCUCCUCAUUGUGAUAUGUGCUGUAUCACACUCCUUUUCCAUCUUCGGAAAUAGACUGACCAAGACUCAGUGUUGAGUCUGAAGUUGCCAGGCUGGCAGAUGUGAAAAAAAUCCAGAUGUAAAAGUAUAACAGAGUUAUAAGCAACUGGAACCCACGUCUAUCUCAAGUUGCCUUCACCCGUGAUAAUGCAAGUGACCCGCAGGUGAAGCUGGCAUCCUUCACCAAAAAAAUAUAUAUGACUCACAUAGAAGUUGAAUGAGGAAAUUCACCAGGAGAUCCAGCACUUUGGAGAAGCUGCAGAAGAAGAUGCUGCGGGAGAUGGAGAACUUAGAGGCACAGAUGUUGCUCCAAAUCCACAGUGAGCCAGCAGAUCAGCAAGAAUUAUACAACCUGUUCAGUUUCUGGUACCCUACACUGACCUUUAGAAUGUAGAAAUAACUGUUGUUUAACACCCUCCCUGGUGGUUUAUUUGAACUUUUU